GCAGUCGACGGCAGCACGGGAGCUUGCUCCUGGUGGCGAGUGGCGAACGGGUGAGUAAUAUAUCGGAACGUAUCCAAUAAUGGGGGAUAACUAACCGAAAGGUUGGCUAAUACCGCAUACGCCCUACGGGGGAAAGCAGGGGAUCGUAAGACCUUGCGUUAAUGGAGCGGCCGAUAUCUGAUUAGCUAGUUGGUGGGGUAAAGGCUCACCAAGGCUUUGAUCAGUAGCUGGUCUGAGAGGACGACCAGCCACACUGGAACUGAGACACGGUCCAGACUCCUACGGGAGGCAGCAGUGGGGAAUUUUGGACAAUGGGGGCAACCCUGAUCCAGCCAUUCCGCGUGAGUGAAGAAGGCCUUCGGGUUGUAAAGCUCUUUCGCAAGGGAAGAAAACUUACCUAAUAACACUAGGUGAGGCUGACGGUACCUUGAUAAGAAGCACCGGCUAACUACGUGCCAGCAGCCGCGGUAAUACGUAGGGUGCGAGCGUUAAUCGGAAUUACUGGGCGUAAAGCGUGCGCAGGCGGUUCUGUAAGUCAGAUGUGAAAGCCCCGGGCUCAACCUGGGAACUGCGUUUGAAACUACAGGACUAGAGUAUGGCAGAGGGGGGUAGAACUCCACGUGUAGCAGUGAAAUGCGUAGAGAUGUGGAGGAAUACCAAUGGCGAAGGCAGCCCCCUGGGUCAAUACUGACGCUCAUGCACGAAAGCGUGGGGAGCAAACAGGAUUAGAUACCCUGGUAGUCCACGCCCUAAACGAUGUCUACUAGUUGUUGGGAGAGUAAAAUCUCUUAGUAACGCAGCUAACGCGUGAAGUAGACC
rnacentral:rRNA from 1 species